CCUACGGGAGGCAGCAGUGGGGAAUAUUGCGCAAUGGGCGAAAGCCUGACGCAGCGACGCCGCGUGAGGGAUGAAGGCCUUCGGAGCGUAAACCUCUGUCAGCAGGGAAGAAAGGUCACUGUGCUAAUCAGCAGCGAAUUGACGGUACCUGCAAAGGAAGCACAGGCUAACUCCGGCACAGCAGCCGCGGUAAUACGGAGGGUGCGUGCGUUGAUCGGAAUUACUGGGAGUAAAGCGGUCGUAGGCGGUAUGUCAAGUCAAGGGUGAAAUCCCCGCGCUCAACGUGGCAACUGCCUUUGAAACUGGCAAACUUGAGUGUGUGAGAGGAUCGUGGAAUUCCAGGUGUAGGAGUGAAAUCCAUAGAUAUCUGGAGGAACAUCAGUGGCGAAGGCGACUUUCUGGCACAUAACUGACGCUGAUGAGCGAAAGCGUGGGUAGCAAACAGGAUUAGAUACCCUUGUAGUC
rnacentral:rRNA from 1 species